rnacentral:rRNA from 1 species
GACGAACGCUGGCGGCGUGCUUAACACAUGCAAGUCGAACGGACAGGCCCUGCUUUUGUGGGGUGCUCGAGUGGCGAACGGGUGAGUAACACGUGAGUAACCUGCCCUUGUCUUUGGGAUAACUUCAGGAAACUGGGGCUAAUACCGGAUAGGAGCUCCUGCUGCAUGGUGGGGGUUGGAAAGUUUCGGCGGUUGGGGAUGGACUCGCGGCUUAUCAGCUUGUUGGUGGGGUAGUGGAUUACCAAGGCUUUGACGGGUAGCCGGCCUGAGAGGGUGACCGGCCACAUUGGGACUGAGAUACGGCCCAGUCUCCUACGGGAGGCAGCAGUGGGGAAUAUGGCACAAUGGGCGGAAGCCUGAUGCAGCAACGCCGCGUGCGGGAUGACGGCUUUCGGGGUGUAAACCGCUGUCGCCUGAGACGAAGCGUGAGUGACGGUAAUGGGUAAAGAAGCACCGGCUAACUACGUG